CACAGUCAAAUUUUAGUAAUAAAAUUUUGUAAAAUAAUUGAUGAAUGUCUGGGCAUUACUGUUUCAGAUUCACUUGAUAAAGCAAGUGAAGCAAGCUCUACCAGCAAGACAUGUGCAAAUAAAGAACUUGAACCAGCUGCACUUUCAUUCAACUGAUUUUUUUGGCAUCAGUUACUCAGAGACCAGUAAUGGGCUGCUUUUAUCAGACUAGCAGUUCCCUGUAAAUAUGGUUUCCAAUUUCACACUCUCACGAGAACAAGCAAGAUAAAAAUAAUUAAUGAUUAUGUACAUUGUAAAUAUACUGCUGACACAGCGUACACGGAUAUGCAACAUCCAACCCUUUAAUCUUUGUUCACUUUCAAAUACAAUCGAGUGACAUAUUAAACAUAGGUUUUCUUGCACAUUGAUCCAUCAGAAUUUUUUGGGAUCAGUAAAUUUCGGCCCACAAUUCAAUUCCAAGCAUUGCAAAUGGCGUUCUCAAGUUCUCCCAAGAAUCAAAGUUAAACUUUUGAGAACCAGAUAAAAUGAGUGUCGUUUUUUAAGGUCAGAUGGCAUGUUCCUCAAUAUAACUUUUUUCAUUUUUACUGCAACUUUUUAUAAAUAAACAAAUUACAAUUUUUUCUUCAAUUGUAGAAGAGCAGAGAAAAGAAUGGAAGCCCAAAUUACUUUUAUUGGAACUCUUUAUAACUAGGAGACACAAAAAAGAUGCUUGAGGAACGUGUCGUCCGACCUUAAGCUCUUCUGAUGAAAAAAAAAAGAUUGAUGUACAGUGUAGUAAAAUGGCCAAGACCACCCAGUCCUCGUUAUAGAACAGCGAUAUACCCGCAAUUGAUGAGGAAAACUGGAGAUCGUGUGAGCAUAUUCGGAAGAAUUCAUAGUUUUUCCAUACCCCUACGUACAAAGAUACCGGAUCAAAGUGCCUUAAUGGUUCAAAGAAAUUAUGUACCACCAUUGCGCAGAUACCCUACUCAGAGAAGAUCACAAUUUUUAUGUCAAAUUUGUUUGCAAAUUGCACUUCAAAAUAAUUUGGACUCGAGUAUCUGUACACGGUUUUGUCCUGAACUUAGACCCAUACUAGUACCUAUUUUCGCCUUGGAUUUUAGACGAACAUUCUAAGAAAAAGCAUUAUGUAUUAAUUACGAAAAACGAAUACCUGACUUGUGUUUUGUUAGGAAAAAUUCGAAUACCGUAUAUCACGUGCCUUUAGAAUAACUCAUUCUUAACCUGAUUUCGUUUAGUUAAAUAAGGUAUUAGCAAUAUAUUGAUUGAAUAACAAAUCGAAAAUAGUAAAAUAAUAUAAUACUGAACAAAUUGACAAUAGUAAACUAAUAUAAUACUGAACAAAUUGACAAUAGUGAAAUAAUAUAAUACUGAACAAUUGACAAUAGUAAAAUAAUUAAUACUAAACAAAUUGACAAUAGUAAAAUAAUUAAUACUGAACAAAUUGGCAAUAGUAAAAUAAUUAAUACUGAGUAUUUAUUUGAUGUUGUUAAGGGGGCUGGAUGGUUAUGGCCAUUUUUAGAUAUUUUUAAAUCUUCUUUUAGAGAGUUGUUUAUAAACAUUUAAAAAAAAAUCUCAAGGUUAAAAGCUAUAAUUUAUGGAUUUUUUCUUUACUAUAUAAAAGUUAAUAACAUAACAAAUUAUAUCUGAAAAUUAAAGCUAGAUAGACCUGAAUGUCAAUUUGUUAACCAAACAGCCUCCUAAAUGUUCUUUUCAAAGUUGUAAUUCAAACCAUUCAGUAUUAUCGAAUUGAUUAACAAAUUGACAAUAAACAGUUUAGGUAUAAAAUAAUGGUAUAGAGAAUAGUGUAAUGUAUAUAACUGAAAAAAUAUCUCAAACCUUUGGCUAGCAAUUAUCAAUGGUAAUGAAAUUAACAAAUAUUGAACCAUGGAUGUGGAUUUAAACAAGUGUAACUUUGUAUCGGUUGUAUUUUACAAAAAUACUCUCAUAAGAACAAAGUAUUCUUUAAUAUUUAAAAUUACGCAUGCAUUUUUUAAAAAUAAUUCUGUUGGUCAGCAAAACCCACCAAUUUUCUUGUG